GACGAACGCUGGCGGCGUGCUUAACACAUGCAAGUCGAGCGAAGUUAUUUCUUCGGGGAUAACUUAGCGGCGGACGGGUGAGUAACACGUGGGUAACCUGCCUCAUAGAGGGGGAUAGCCUUCCGAAAGGAAGAUUAAUACCCCAUAACAUAGCAUCAUCGCAUGAUGAAGUUAUUAAAGGAGUAAUCCGCUAUGAGAUGGACCCCGCGGCGCAUUAGCUAGUUGGUGAGGUAACGGCUCACCAAGGCCACGAUGCGUAGCCGACCUGAGAGGUGAUCGGCCACAUUGGGACUGAGACACGGCCCAGACUCCUACGGGUGGCUG
rnacentral:rRNA from 1 species